rnacentral:rRNA from 1 species
CGUCGCGCUCGCCGGCGACCGGCGCACGGGUGAGUAACACGUAUGGAACCUGCCGCAGCAGGGGGAGUAAUCGGGGGAAACCCCGGUCUAAUACCGCGAACGACCCGGAGGGGCGAUCCCUUCGGGUCCAAAGGUUUACCGGCUGCGGAUGGCCAUGCGUCGCAUUAGCUUGUUGCGGGGUAACGGCCCACCAAGGCGACGAUGCGUAGGGGUUCUGAGAGGAAGGUCCCCCANACUGGUACUGAGACACGGACCAGACUCCUACGGAAGGCAGCAG